rnacentral:rRNA from 1 species
UGAGGAAUCUUGCGCAAUGGGGGAAACCCUGAUGCAGCGACGCCGUGUGGAGGAUGACGGCCUUCGGGUUGUAAACUCCUUUUGUCAGGGACAAUGGUGAUGGUACCUGACGAAUAAGCCACGGCUAACUACGUG